rnacentral:rRNA from 1 species
UACGUAGGGACCAAGCGUUGUUCGGAUUUACUGGGCGUAAAGGGCGCGUAGGCGGCGUGUUAAGUCAGCUGUGAAAUCUCCGAGCUUAACUCGGAACGGUCAGCUGAUACUGAUGUGCUAGAGUGCAGAAGGGGCAAUCGGAAUUCUUGGUGUAGCGGUGAAAUGCGUAGAUAUCAAGAGGAACACCUGAGGUGAAGACGGGUUGCUGGGCUGACACUGACGCUGAUGCGCGAAAGCGUGGGGAGCGAACAGG